rnacentral:rRNA from 1 species
CGUGUAGGCGGUCAGAUAAGUCUGGUGUGAAAGCCCUUGGCUUAACCAAGGAAUGUCGCUGGAAACUGUCUGGCUUGAGUACGAGAGAGGAGAGUGGAAUUCCCGGUGUAGAGGUGAAAUUCGUAGAUAUCGGGAGGAACACCAGUGGCGAAGGCGGCUCUCUGGAUCGAUACUGACGCUGAUACGCGAAAGCGUGGGGAGCAAACAGGAUUAGAUACCCUGGUAGUCCACGCUGUAAACGUCGGGCACUAGGUGUAGGAGGUAUUGACCCUUUGUGCCGAAGCUAACGCAUUAAGUGUCCCGCCUGGGGACUACGCGCAAGGUUAAA